CUGACGGAGCCCCCCCGCGUGAGGGAGGAAGUUUCUUGGGUUGUAACCUCUUAACUCAAGGAAGAACGCAAUGACGGUACUUGAGGAAUCAGCAUCGGCUAACUCCGUGCCAGCAGCCGCGGUGGUACGGACCAUGCAAGCGUUAUCCGGUUUGAUUGGGCGUAAAGCGUCCGCAGGUGGCGAUGUAAGUCUGCUGUUAAAGAGUGAGGCUCAACCUCAUAACCGCAGUGGAAACUACAUAGCCCGAGUUGCGUUCGGGGCAGAGGGAAUUCCUGGUGUAGCGGUGAAAUGCGUAGAUAUCAGGAAGAACACCGGUGGCGAAAGCGCUCUGCUAGACCGCAACUGACACUUUUGGACGAAAGCUAGGGGAGCGCAUGGGAUUAGAUA
rnacentral:rRNA from 1 species